CAGAGCUCCUGUCAUGGCGGAGUGUAACAGGUGUUCCCUCCCCGCUGCAGGAAUCAGGACGGUCCCGUGAGCGCACUCUCUGUCGGGACUCCCGCUGAAAUCAAACUGACCGUGUGCAGACCAUCAGGUCUUUUCUUGAGAAAACUGAAUGACUGUUGAAGCUACAGACGGAGGAUCUACAAGCACUUUCACCUGAAGAAAAAUCCUUCUGCCUUUAGAUGAACUGGACAGAAAAACAACGCACAUCAACGUUAGCGUGUUUACAAAAUGGCAAAAGGAGAGAAACGUUUCUGAUGUUAUCCACUAAAGCUCCUCUUUUAUUUCCACUUCCUGAUUCCUGUUUCCAGCCGGGCUCUACAAUCAGAUGGAUGGGUACUUCCUGUUUCUGUGAACUCGUCGGCAGCCGUCAA